UACGAAGGGGGCUAGCGUUGCUCGGAAUCACUGGGCGUAAAGCGUGCGUAGGUGGUGAGUUAAGUCUGUCGUGAAAGCCCCGGGCUCAACCUGGGAAUGGCGAUGGAUACUGGCUCGCUAGAGUGCGGUAGAGGAGAGUGGAAUUCCCGGUGUAGCAGUGAAAUGCGUAGAGAUCGGGAGGAACAUCAGUUGCGAAGGCGGCUCUCUGGACCAGCACUGACACUGAGGCACGAAAGCGUGGGGAGCAAACAGG
rnacentral:rRNA from 1 species